UCCUCCUGUCAGUAAUCCACGAGCGCUUGUGUGUACUAGUGUAGAAAGUUCCACCAAUGCACCAGGCGAGACUCCAUUAGUAAAUGUGUAUACAUGUAUAAGAAAUUCCCCCUAUGUACCAGAUGAGAUUCCACCAGUAGGUGUGUGUACAUGUGUAGGAAGCCCCCUCGUUUCAAGUGUGUGUACAUGUGUAGGAAGCCCGACCAGUGUAGACGCGACUCCACCAGUUAACGUGGGUACAUGUGUAGGAAACCCCAACUUUGCAAAAGGCACAUCUCCAGUAUCUGUUUGUUCAUUUGUAGUAAAGCCCGCCAAUGCACAAGGCAUGAGUCUAGUAGAUGUGUGUACAUGUGUAAAAAGGCUUGCAUAUGCACCAGGCAGUCCAUAUGUAUUUGAUUGUACAUGUGAAGGAAAGUACGGCAGUGCACCAGCCCAGUCUCCACCACUGGGUGUGCCUAAAAAACAGCCCAGCGAUGCACCAAGGGGAACUCAACAACAAUACGUGACUAAAGGAGGAUAUCCUCAGCAGAGAUGGUGAACUGGUGACUGAGAGCUUUAGCUUCCUGCAACUGUUCACACAUUU